CGGGGUGCACCAGGCGCGAAAACUUUACAAUGCGGGAAACCGUGAUAAGGGGACACCGAGUGCCAGCAUCAUAUGCUGGCUGUCCAGGUGUGUAAAAUACACCUGUCAGCAAGGGCCGGGCAAGACCGGUGCCAGCCGCCGCGGUAACACCGGCGGCCCGAGUGGUGAUCGUGAUUAUUGGGUCUAAAGGGUCCGUAGCCGGUUUGGUCAGUCCUCCGGGAAAUCUGACGGCUCAACCGUUAGGCUUUCGGGGGAUACUGCCAGGCUUGGAACCGGGAGAGGUAAGAGGUACUACAGGGGUAGGAGUGAAAUCUUGUAAUCCCUGUGAGACCACCUGUGGCGAAGGCGUCUUACCAGAACGGGUUCGACGGUGAGGGACGAAAGCUGGGGGCACGAACCGGAUUAGAUACCCGGGUAGUCCCAGCCGUAAACGAUGCUCGCUAGGUGUCAGGCAUGGCGCGACCGUGUCUGGUGCCGCAGGGAAGCCGUGAAGCGAGCCACCUGGGAAGUACGGCCGCAAGGCUGAAACUUAAAGGAAUUGGCGGGGGAGCACAAGGGCGAUUCGCG
rnacentral:rRNA from 1 species